UGUGUAUGUUAGAGUGUGCUUAGCUACUGCUGCUACAAAGUUAUAUAUAAAGAAGUUGAAACGUAAAACGGUGUCCUUAUUCCCUAACCGGAGUACGCUCACGGGUGAAGAGUCCCAGCACAACAACAACAUCAGUUUAUCCAUAUAGUUCUUCAAUAUUGGUCCUUCGAGCCGGAUUGCUUCACUCGCAACGGAGAAAUGGACACAGCGCUAACAACAGCGGCAGACGGCGGCGCACUCGGAGCAAGACAGCGACAGCUUCCAACUCGUCUAGAAAGCUACCAGGUUAGCCUUCCACAGUCCCUCAUUCCUCACGGUGCCCGCCCGGAGGACCGAGGAGAGAGCGUUGGCGCCCAGCGGCUGCAGUCACUCAGCCUACAGACCGUGUGUGUGUAUGGAGGAUCAGCCGCACGGAGCGCACGCUAUCCCCGAUCGUCCAUUAUCGCCGGGACCGCCCGACAAGGUGAGCGAGUGGAACAUGGCGAUACAUGCUAGAGACUUGCCCAGCCAGCUAACGUGCCAUAUGAGCCAUCCAUCGGCGGCGCACGCGGGGCGGAGCUAUCAAAGCAGGCAGGGUUCUCCUGUCCUACGGCCACCAGCUAUUCUCAAUAUGAGCGUCCCAACAUAUCAAUCACCCUGGCUAAGCUGUCCAGUAGUUCACAGCACCCCUCUGUCACAGCCAUCCAGCCUCCAUCUUGGAUCAUAUAGGCUGCUUCUGCAUGAGACACACCUGUCUGCACUGCCACAUACCACCUUUACAGCACUAAAGCUUCAAGCAGCAAUGACUCCUACACCAGGUAGUAGACAGGAGAACUACACACUGACGCAGUCUCUGCCUUCAACUGUGACAUCUGCAUGGGCACCGUCUCCCCUCACUACGCUGAACGUUUCUAUGCUGCAGACUACACCUCAAGCUUCACAAGCAGUGAGUUAUGCCAGCCCACAGACAUCAGUUACAUCAGGCUACCCGUCUAACCAGCCUACCACAGUAAUGAUUAACAAUGUACAGGAAAGAGUGCCACCAGCUGCACAACUGCAAUACCUGCCCAUGCAGAAAACACCAGUAAAUCCAGCACCAGUGCAGCAAUACACCCCACUCCUGUCCGCACAGCCAGUGAGGCAAUACACCCCACUCCCAUCUGCACAGCCCGUGCAGCAACACGCUCCACUGUUUGCACAACCGGCCUAUCAACCCCCCCAGAUAGCAACAGCGCCAUAUUCUGCACCACAGCUACCUGUUGCGGCUGGCACUCAGCCAGUUAUCAAUCCAUUGCCCUACAGCGCUGCCACUCCCCUGGGGACUGUCUAUCAGCCUCCAUCAACCAGCGCUACACAGCCAUUAUACCAGUCACCACUGCCACCGCAGAACCAACAGCUGCAACUCUACCAGCCUGUGUCUCCGCCGUCAACUCAGCCAGCAUAUCAACUGGUGUCUCCCCCUGCUGGUUUCACUCUGCAACAGCCCCCAUCAGCUCAACAGGUUCAGUACAGCCCCCAGUCUCAGUAUACACCACUGCAGGUACCGUACACUACCCAGUCCCCCAGACAGCCUGUUCCAAUACCUGAACUACCUAAGUUGGUGCACGACAGUGAGAGAGAGUUUGCUGACUUAAAAAUGGCGUUAGAUCACCUGCUCAAUCCACACACUGAACUUUCUGAACAUUACAAAUACCGUGUGCUUAUGGAACACUUGGUCCUGGAUGAAGCCAAGCUAAUAGCUCAGUCACACAGACAUUAUGUACAGCCCUACACCGCCACAAUGCAGGCUUUGCAGUGACAGUACGGGCAGCCACAUCAGUUGGCACAAAGUGAGAUUGCAGACAUCCUGAACUCUCCUGAUCUCAAAUCAGGACACCCUAAAUCUUUCCAGAGCUUCGCCCUCAACGUUGACUUGCUGGUGGGAAUGCUAACCUCAUUGGAAGGGCCUAAAGGGAUGGACGUGAUGUCUACUGGCCAUGUUGACCGACUACUUAGGUCAGCUUGAUGUGCUCCCAUUCCGUAGCGAGCGGCUAGCAGUGCGGUCUCGCCUGAACCAGGAAGCGGUGAGCGUCUUGGAAGCACGCACUAAGAGAGUGAAGGUUGGUGACACACUUCGCUACACUACACCCCUGCUCCGGGUAAAAGGUGCACCACCAUUAAAAGCAGAUGUUGAAGCUGUGAUGCCAAAGCUACGCAGUACAGAGAGACGACUGCUUAAAGACACUGUCAAAGCUAAAAUAUACGAAGCAGAGAUCCAGAAGCUUAUAGAUGGUGGGUGUGUCACAAAGCUCCAGGAGGCAGAGGGAAACCGCUCCAGUGAGUCAUGGUUCAUACCUCAUCACCUCGUCCAUCACAAUGGCAAACAUCGCCUUGUCUUUGACUGCUCCUUUAAUCAUGGUGGUCUCUCUCUCAACGAGCAGCUUCUCCCAGGUCCAACCCUCGGCCCAUCUCUCAUCGGGCUCCUCCUGCGGUUCCGCCAGCACACUGUCGCCAUCAGUGGAGAUAUCCGAGCCAUGUUCCACCAAGUUCGGCUUCUGCCGGAGGACCAGCCGUUGCUGAGGAAAUGAAGACGUCCUGCAGUUCAUCGAACAGUCUUUCUACGUGGACAACUGUCUGCAGAGCCUGUCAACGACUGAGUCAGCCAAGGACAAGAUGCGACAAUGUCUGGCCUCAGGAGGAUUUGAGAUUCGACAGUGGGCAAGUAACUUCUCAUGUGUUGUCUCCCACUUGCCUUCCAGUGCCCGAUCUGAAAGUACAGAGCUGUGGCUGCCCGAGAAGAGCAACGAUCCACAGGAGCCGGCCCUUGGUCUGCGGUGGUAUUGUCCAUCUGAUCGGCUCGGUUUCAAGCCAAAGCCUCCAGAGAGUGAGACCCCUACUAUGCGGUACAUCUAUAAGGUACUCGCCCGCCAGUAUGAUCCGAUCGGGAUCAUUAUCCCGUACACUACACGGGCCAAGAUUCUUGUCCAGAAACUGUGGGCAAAGAAGAGGAGCUGGGACGACCCGAAUCUCCCUCCUGACAUCCUCCAAGCCUGGUCCAGCUGGGAGAGAGAACUCCCCGAGCUGGCCAACAUCUCCAUCCCUCGAACUUAUGCACCAUUGGAGCUUGCUACUGACACCACAGAGUACACUCUCCACGUCUUCUGUGACUCCUCUGAGCAAGCCUACGGGUCAGUGGCAUAUCUCACCACAAGAACUAAUGACACUGUCUAUGUCUCAUUUGUGAUGGCAAGGUCUAGAGUGGCCCCAAAACGCCAGCAGUCAAUGCCACGGUUGGAGCUCUGUGCCGCGCUGACAGGAGCCCAGCUGUCCUCCCUCCUUCACAAAGAGCUCACCUUGUGUAUUGCCCAGACCUUCUUAUGGACUGACUCCACAACAGUUCUCACCUGGCUGACAUCCAGUGUUGGGUUAGUUACUGAAAACCAGUAACUAGUUACAGUUACUAGUUACUUUAUUUCAAAAGUAACUCAGUUACUAACUCAGUUACUUACACCAAAAAGUAAUGUGUUACUGUGAAAAGUAACUAUUUAGUUACUUCUUCUACUUUUUGUUUUUAAAGCUCCCAUUAAUGCCCUUUUAGCCUUCAUUUCAGUACUGUUAUUGCACUGGAGAAUAAUACAAUCUGUUGAUCAACUUGACAUGCAUUUGCAUCACUGAACUCUGCUAAGCAAUGUGCUCUACAUACAACACACAAAGACAAAGAUAUGUUUCAAAGGGCCAAUUUAUUUCAGGCCAGAACAAAUUGACAAAACUAUUUUAAAUAGCUGCAACAUAACAUACAUAAGUAACAAACAGCAUAAUAACACUAACACUAACACUAACCACGUUAAACCCAGAUUCCAAACUAACAAAGGUCUUAACUCAUUCUCUUUCUAUGCCACUUCAAUAUGGAAUCCACUCCCAACAGGUGUAAAAUAAAGGGCAUCUCUAUCCUCCUUCAAAACCGCAGUAAAAGAACAUCUCCAGGCAACUUCAACCCUAAACUAACACCCUCCCUUCCACAUAAUACCUCUUCGGAUUGUAAAUAAUCAAAUGUAGACAUUUUUUCUUAUACUUUCUGAUCUCUCUCUCUGUGUCCACUACUUGCUAUACAUAUCCUACCAAGUCAGUCCUACACUGUUUCAAUGUCCAUUUCUCUGAUGAUGCAAUUGUUGAUGCUGAUUGUUGAUGACAGAAGUGUUGAUACCAACCAAACCAAACCCACCCCCCACCCCCCCAUCCUCCAUAUCCCACACCCCGGAUUGUAAAUAAUUCAAUGUAUAUAUCCUGAUGAUUAUCUUGUGUGAUGACUGUAUUAUGAUGUUAGUAUAUAUCUGAUAGCAUAUAUCUGUAUCAUGAAUCAGUGGACCCCGACUUAAGCAAGUUGAAAAACUUAUUGGGGUGUUACCAUUUAGUGGUUAAUUGUACGGAAUAUGUACUGUACUGUGCAACCUACUAAUAAAAGUUUCAAUCAAUCAAUCAAUCAACAACAUAGCUGUAAACCUGGCUUCACCUAAGGAAGGCACACGUGACAUACACAGAGCCUAACCAGGCAGAUUUGAAUUGUUGUUUUGGGCAGUAGACGGGAUCUUUGAUCCAAGACACAACUUACAUUUAAAUAAAAUGUUAUUUUCUUUGUGCUCGACAAAAGAAAAGAAGUGAGAAUAUCUCAUACUUGCCAACCCUUCCGAAUUUCAGUGCCUCUCCCCGGGACAACCAUUCUC